ACUAGGUCUGAGAGGUCGGAGGCCGCCAGUGUCGCUGCUGAAGGGUGGACCAGGCGGGAUCGCGGAUUCUGGGCUAGAUCGCAGACUUGAAUUCGACACCAAAUUUUGGAACUUAAAAAGAAGAUUCUUAAAACUUACAAUCCAGAUUACGAUGAGGACCUGGUGCAGGAAGCUUCAUCUGAAGAUGUCCUGGGCGUUCAUAUGGUGGACAAAGACACAGAGAGAGACAUUGAGAUGAAACGGCAACUACGGCGACUACGGGAGCUCCACCUAUACAGCACAUGGAAGAAGUACCAAGAGGCGAUGAAGACAUCCUUGGGAGUUCCACAACGUGGUGACCUGGAAGACCUGGAGGAGCAUGUGCCAGGGCAGACAGUCUCUGAGGAAGCCACAGGGGUUCACAUGAUGCAGGUGGACCCAGCCACGCCGGCAAAGAAAUUGGAAGACUCCACCAUUACAGGCAGCCACCAGCAGAUGUCAGCAAGUCCUUCCUCUGCACCUGCAGAAGAAGCAACAGAAAAGACCAAAGUGGAAGAGGAAGUGAAAACCAGAAAGCCCAAGAAGAAAACCAGGAAGCCCAGCAAGAAAAGCCGGUGGAAUGUCCUGAAAUGUUGGGACAUUUUUAAUAUAUUUUAGAGACCUCUGAAGAUUCCUCGACCACCAGGAAGGGCCCCGACGUGGGGAUGUCAACAUGGCUCAGACUUGAUGUGGAUCGUGAUCAUUUCGGGAAAUGUGUUACUCCAAAAACUUUUAUAAUCUUUGCUUAAUUUGUUUUUAAAUACUUUCCUGGCUGGGCGUGGUGGCUUAUGCCUGUAAUCCCAGCACUUUGGGAGGCCGAGGCGGGUGGAUCACCUGAGGUCAGGAGUUAAAGACCAGCCUGGCCAACAAGGUGAAACCCCGUCUCUACUAAAAAUACAAAAAUUAGCUAGGCGUGGUGGCGCACUCUUGUAGUCCCAGCUAUUUGGGAGGCUGAGGCAGGAGAAUCACUUGACCUCAGGAGGCGGAGGUUGCAGUGAGCCGAGAUCAUGCCACUGCACCCCAGCACCUGGCUACAGAGUGAGACUUUGUCUC
rnacentral:lncRNA from 1 species